GUGUCAGCCGCCGCGGUAAUACAGAGGGUGCAAGCGUUAAUCGGAGUUACUGGGCGUAAAGGGCACGUAGGCGGUCGUAUAAGUCAGUUGUGAAAUCCCCGGGCUUAACCUGGGAACUGCAGCUGAUACUGUAUGACUCGAGUCGAAGAGAGGGAAGCGGAAUUUCCGGUGUAGCGGUGAAAUGCGUAGAUAUCGGAAGGAACAUCUGUGGCGAAGGCGGCUUCCUGGCUUCAGACUGACGCUGAGGUGCGAAAGCGUGGGUAGCGAACAGGAUUAGAAACCCUCGUAGUCC
rnacentral:rRNA from 1 species